UACGGGGGGGGCAAGCGUUGUUCGGAAUUACUGGGCGUAAAGGGCCAGUAGGCGGCCAACUAAGUCCGACGUGAAAUCCCCAGGCUUAACCUGGGAACUGCGUCGGAUACUGGAUGGCUUGAAUUCGGGAGAGGGAUGCAGAAUUCCAGGUGUAGCGGUGAAAUGCGUAGAUAUCAGGAAGAACACCCGUGGCGAAGGCGGCUCUCUGGUACGUGACUGACGCUGAGACGCGAAAGCGUGGGGAGCGAACAGG
rnacentral:rRNA from 1 species